UUAAGCGACUAAGCGUACACGGUGGAUGCCUAGGCAGUCAGAGGCGAUGAAGGGCGUGCUAAUCUGCGAAAAGCGUCGGUAAGCUGAUAUGAAGCGUUACAACCGACGAUACCCGAAUGGGGAAACCCAGUGCAAUUCGUUGCACUAUUGCAUGGUGAAUACAUAGCCAUGCAAGGCGAACCGGGGGAACUGAAACAUCUAAGUACCCCGAGGAAAAGAAAUCAACCGAGAUUCCCCCAGUAGCGGCGAGCGAACGGGGAGGAGCCCAGAGUCUGAAUCAGUUUGUGUGUUAGUGGAAGCGUCUGGAAAGUCGCACGGUACAGGGUGAUAGUCCCGUACACAAAAAUACACUUGCUGUGAACUCGAUGAGUAGGGCGGGACACGUGACAUCCUGUCUGAAUAUGGGGGGACCAUCCUCCAAGGCUAAAUACUCCUGACUGACCGAUAGUGAACCAGUACCGUGAGGGAAAGGCGAAAAGAACCCCGGCGAGGGGAGUGAAAUAGAACCUGAAACCGUGUACGUACAAGCAGUGGGAGCACCUUCGUGGUGUGACUGCGUACCUUUUGUAUAAUGGGUCAGCGACUUAUAUUUUGUAGCAAGGUUAACCGAAUAGGGGAGCCGUAGGGAAACCGAGUCUUAACUGGGCGUCUAGUUGCAAGGUAUAGACCCGAAACCCGGUGAUCUAGCCAUGGGCAGGUUGAAGGUUGGGUAACACUAACUGGAGGACCGAACCGACUAAUGUUGAAAAAUUAGCGGAUGACUUGUGGCUGGGGGUGAAAGGCCAAUCAAACCGGGAGAUAGCUGGUUCUCCCCGAAAGCUAUUUAGGUAGCGCCUCGUGAACUCAUCUUCGGGGGUAGAGCACUGUUUCGGCUAGGGGGUCAUCCCGACUUACCAAACCGAUGCAAACUCCGAAUACCGAAGAAUGUUAUCACGGGAGACACACGGCGGGUGCUAACGUCCGUCGUGAAGAGGGAAACAACCCAGACCGCCAGCUAAGGUCCCAAAGUCAUGGUUAAGUGGGAAACGAUGUGGGAAGGCACAGACAGCCAGGAUGUUGGCUUAGAAGCAGCCAUCAUUUAAAGAAAGCGUAAUAGCUCACUGGUCGAGUCGGCCUGCGCGGAAGAUGUAACGGGGCUAAACCAUGCACCGAAGCUGCGGCAGCGACACUUAGGUGUUGUUGGGUAGGGGAGCGUUCUGUAAGCCGUUGAAGGUGGCCUGUGAGGGCUGCUGGAGGUAUCAGAAGUGCGAAUGCUGACAUAAGUAACGAUAAUGCGGGUGAAAAGCCCGCACGCCGGAAGACCAAGGGUUCCUGUCCAACGUUAAUCGGGGCAGGGUGAGUCGACCCCUAAGGCGAGGCUGAAAAGCGUAGUCGAUGGGAAACAGGUUAAUAUUCCUGUACUCGGUGUUACUGCGAAGGGGGGACGGAGAAGGCUAGGCUAGCCGGGCGACGGUUGUCCCGGUUUAAGCAUGUAGGCGGAGUGACCUGGUAAAUCCGGUUGCUUAUCAACGCUGAGGUGUGAUGACGAUGCACUACGGUGCAGAAGUAGUUGAUGCCAAGCUUCCAGGAAAAGCCUCUAAGCAUCAGGUAACAUUGAAUCGUACCCCAAACCGACACAGGUGGUCAGGUAGAGAAUACUCAGGCGCUUGAGAGAACUCGGGUGAAGGAACUAGGCAAAAUGGUGCCGUAACUUCGGGAGAAGGCACGCUGGCAUUAGGUAAAGAGACUUGCUCUCGUAGCCGAAGCCAGUCGCAGAUACCAGCUGGCUGCAACUGUUUAAUAAAAACACAGCACUGUGCAAACACGAAAGUGGACGUAUACGGUGUGACGCCUGCCCGGUGCUGGAAGGUUAAUUGAUGGGGUCAGCCGCAAGGCGAAGCUCUUGAUCGAAGCCCCAGUAAACGGCGGCCGUAACUAUAACGGUCCUAAGGUAGCGAAAUUCCUUGUCGGGUAAGUUCCGACCUGCACGAAUGGCGUAAUGAUGGCCAGGCUGUCUCCACCCGAGACUCAGUGAAAUUGAACUCGCUGUGAAGAUGCAGUGUACCCGCGGCAAGACGGAAAGACCCCGUGAACCUUUACUAUAGCUUGACACUGAACAUUGAGCCUUGAUGUGUAGGAUAGGUGGGAGGCAUCGAAGCGUGGACGCCAGUCUGCGUGGAGCCAACCUUGAAAUACCACCCUUUAAUGUUUGAUGUUCUAACUCGGCCCCGUAAUCCGGGGUGAGGACAGUGUCUGGUGGGUAGUUUGACUGGGGCGGUCUCCUCCCAAAGAGUAACGGAGGAGCACGAAGGUUAGCUAAUCACGGUCGGACAUCGUGAGGUUAGUGCAAAGGCAUAAGCUAGCUUGACUGCGAGAGUGACGGCUCGAGCAGGUACGAAAGUAGGUCUUAGUGAUCCGGUGGUUCUGAAUGGAAGGGCCAUCGCUCAACGGAUAAAAGGUACUCCGGGGAUAACAGGCUGAUACCGCCCAAGAGUUCAUAUCGACGGCGGUGUUUGGCACCUCGAUGUCGGCUCAUCACAUCCUGGGGCUGAAGUAGGUCCCAAGGGUAUGGCUGUUCGCCAUUUAAAGUGGUACGCGAGCUGGGUUUAGAACGUCGUGAGACAGUUCGGUCCCUAUCUGCCGUGGGCGUUGGAAGAUUGAGAGGGGCUGCUCCUAGUACGAGAGGACCGGAGUGGACGAAUCACUGGUGUUCGGGUUGUCAUGCCAAUGGCAUUGCCCGGUAGCUAAAUUCGGAAGAGAUAACCGCUGAAAGCAUCUAAGCGGGAAACUUGCCUCGAGAUGAGUCUUCCCUGGGGCUUUAAGCCCCCUGAAGGAACGUUAAAGACUAUGACGUUGAUAGGCUGGGUGUGUAAGUGCAGCGAUGCAUUGAGCUAACCAGUACUAAUGAUCCGUGAGGCUUAACCUU
rnacentral:rRNA from 1 species